rnacentral:tRNA from 1 species
AUUUAAAUAGUUUAAUCAAAAUAUAAUAUUGAAGAUAUUAAGAUAAUUUAAUUUUUUAAAUA